rnacentral:lncRNA from 12 species
AAAUUUUCAUGAAUUUUUGGGAAUUUCCCCAGAUUUUUCCCAAUUUUCCUGAAUUUCCCAAGAUUUUCCCCCAAAUUUUCCCGGAUUUUUUUUUUUCUGAAUUUUCCCGAAUUUCCCAGAUUUUUUCUGAAUAUUCCUGAAUUCCCAUUUUUCGGGCUGGAAUUCCCGCGUUUUUUCCCGCCAAUUCCCGGAUUUUUUCCCACCAAUUCCUGGUUUUUUUCCCGCCAAUUCCCGCGUUUUUUCCCGCCAAUUCCCGUUUUGUUUUUUUUUUCCCGCCAAUUCCCGGGGGUUUUUUUCCCGACUAUUCCCGGGCUUUUAUCCCGAUAAUUCCCGGGUUUAUUUCCCCUCCAAUUCCCAAUUUUUCCCGGGGAAUUCCCGUGUUUUUUCCCGGUAAUUCCCGUUUUUUUUCCCCGCCAAUUCCCGGGUUUUUUUUCCCAACAAUUCCCGUUUUUUUUCCUGCUCCCAUCCCGGUUUUUCCCCACCCCUCCCCUUCUCCCUUCCCGGUCUCUCCCUCCGUUCAAUCCCGGUUUUUUCCCCAUUUUCCCGCGCUCCCAUCCCGAUCUCCUCCCGGUUUUUCCCGCUCCCAUCCCGGUUCCAAUCCCGGUUUCUUCCCGCUCCUCUCCCGGCGUUUUCCCGGUUUUUCUCCGCUCCCAUCCCGGUUCCAAUCCCGGUUUUUCCCGCUCCUCUCCCGGCGUUUUCCCGGUUUCUUCCCGGUCCCUUCCAGGUCUCUUCCUCCCUCCCAUUCCAUUCUCCUCCCGGUUUUUUCCCCGGUCCAAUCCCGCUCCUCUCCCGGCGUUUUCCCGGUUCCUCCCCGCUCCCAUCCCGGUUCCUCCCGGUUCCAAUCCCGGUUCCAAUCCCGGUUCCUCCCCGCUCCCAUCCCGGUCUCCUCCCGGUCUCUCCCCAGCUCCAAUCCCGAUUUCUUCCCGGUCUCCUCCCCGUUUUCCCCCGCUCCUCUCCCAGUUCUUCCCGGCUCCAGUCCAAUUCUAUUCCCGGUUUUUCCCCGCUCCCGUGCCAGUCUAUUCCCGGUUCCUCCCCGCUCCCAUCCCGGUUUACUCCCGGUCUCUCCCCCGCUCCAAUCCCGGUUUCUUCUCGGUCUCCUCCGCGUUUUCUCCCGCUCCCAUCCCGGUCUAUUCCCGGUUUUUCUCCCGGUCCCUUCCAGGUCUCUCCCUCCGUCCCAUCCCGUUCUCCUCCCGGUUUUUUCCCCGCUCCAAUCCCGGUUUCUCCCCGGUCUCCUCCCCGUUUUCCCCCUCUCCUCUCCCGGUGCUUUCCUGGUUCUUCCCGGCUCCAGUCCAAUUCUAUUCCCGGUUUUUCUCUCUCCCAUCCCGGUCUCCUCCCGGUUUUUUCCCCUCUCCAUUCCCGGUCCUUCCCCUCUCCGUUCCCGGUUUCCUCCCUGUUCCCAUCCCGGUCUCCUCCCGGUCUCUCCCCCGCUCCCAUCCCGGUCACCUCCCGCUUUUUCCCUGCUCCCAUCACGGUUCCUUCCCGUUCCAGUCCCGGUUCCUCCUCGCUCCAGUCCCGGUUUUUCUCCCGCUCCCAUCCCGGUCUCUCCCCGCUCCUCUCUCGACGUUUUCCCGGUUUUUCUCCGUUCCAGUCCCGGUUCCUCCCCGGUCCAAUCCCGGUUUUCCCCCGCUCCCACCCCGAUCUCCUCCCGGAUUUUUGUCCCGCUCCCAUCCCGGACUCUUCCCCCGCUCCAAUCCCGGUUUUUCCCCCACUCCAAUCCCCGUUUUUCCCCGUUUUUCUCCCGUUCCAAUCCCGGUUUUUUUCCCGGUCCUUCCCCUCUCCCACCCCGAUUUUUUUCCUGCUUUCCCCCGCUCCAAUCCCAGGUUUUUCCCGUUUUUUUUUAUUUUCCCCGGUUUUUUCCCACUUUCCCCCUCUCCCACCCGGUUUUUUUUUUUUCUUUUUUUUCCCCCGGUUUUCCCCACUUUCCCCCGCUCCCAUCCCGGUUUUUUUUUUUUUUAUUUUCCCCGGUUUUUUCCCACUUUUCCCUUCUCCCAUCCCGGUUUUUUCCCACUUUUCCCUUCUCCCAUUCCGUUUUUUUUUCCCCCCCGGUUUUUCCAACUUUUCAAUUUUCCCAUCCCGUUUUUUUCCCCUGUUUUUUUCCCCAUUUUCCCUCUCUCCCAUCCCGUUUUUUUUCUUUUUUUUCCCCUGGUUUUCCCCACUUUCCCCUUCUCCCAUCCUGGUAUUUUUAAUUUUUUUUCCCUGGUUUUUCCCACUUUCCCCCCUCGCCCAUCCCUUUUUUUUUUCUUUUUUUUCCCCUGGUUUUUCCCACUUUUCCCCUUCUCCCAUCCCUUUUUUUCUUUUUUUUCCCCACUUUUCCUCUCUCCCAUCCCGGUUUUUUUUUCUUUUUUUUUCCCCGGUUUUUUUCCCGACUUUUCCCUCUCCCAUCCUGUUUUUUUUUCUUUUUUUUCCCUGCUUUUUCCCACUUUCCCCUGCUCCCAAUCCGUUUUUUUUUUCCCGUUUUUUUUCCCACUUUCCCCCUUUCCCAUCCCAUUUUUUUUCCUUUUUUUCCCCCGGUUUUUCCCACUUUUCCCAUCCCGGUUUUUUUCCCCCCCCCCCCCCCCCCCCCCCCCCCCCCCCCCCCCUUUUUUCCCUUUUUUUUUUUUUUUUUUUUUUUUUUUUCUUUUUUUUCCCCUCGUUUUUUCCCCACUUUCCCCCUCUCCCCUCCCGGUUUUUUUCCCGUUUUUUUUCCCCGUUUUUCCCCGACCUUUCCUCUCCCCCGCAGCCUCCAGGAUGAAACCAGAGGAGGCUCCGUCCUGCUGGGGGCAGGGGUUGGGUGAAUGCUGAGAAAAAAAAACGGGAAUUCCGGGAAAAAAAAAUGGGAAUUCCGGGAAAAAAAAAACGGAAAUAACUCUGGGAAAAACACCUGGAAUUCCAGGAAAAAUACCGUGAAAAUUAUCGGGAGAAAUAGCAGGAAUAACACUGGGAAUCUUGGAAAAAUACUGGGGAAAAUGCCGGGAAAAACACCUGGAAAAACACCUGGAAUUCCAAAAAAAAACCCGGGAAAAAUAUUGGGAGUAACAUCUGGAAAAUCCCAAAAAUUCCAAUCCUAAAAAUCCUGAAAAUCCCAAUCCUGGGAAUUCAAAAAUUCCAAUCCCAGGAAUCCCAAAAUAUCCUGGGAGUCCCAAUCCCAAAAAUCCCAAAAAUCCCAAUCCUGAAAAUCCUGAAAAUCCCAAUCCUGGGAAUCCAAAAAUUCCAAUCCCAAAAAAUCCUGGGAGUCCCAAUCCCAAAAAUCCAAAUCCCAAAAAUUCCAAAAAUCCCGAAAAUCCUGAAAAUCCCAAUCCCAAAAAUCCCAAAAAUCCUGAAAACCCCAACCCCCCCCCCCCCCCCCCCCAAAAAUCCUGAAAAUCCCAAUCUCAAAAAUUCCAAAAAUUCCAAUCCUGAAAAUUCUGAAAAUCCCAAUCCUGGGAAUCCAAAAUUCCUGAAAAUCCUGAACAUCCCAAUUCCAAAAAUCCCAAAAAUUCCAAUCCUGGAAAUCCCACAAAUCCAAAUAUCCCAAAAAUCCCAAACCCCAAAAUCCCAAAAAUCCUGAAAAUCCCAAUCCCCAAAACCUCAAACAUCCCAGUCCUGGGAAUCCAAAAAUCUCAAAAAUCCCAAAUCCCAAAAAUUCCAAACCCAAAAAUCCCAAAAAUUCCAAACCUGGAAAUCCCAAAAAUCCAAAACCCAAAAAUCCCCAAAAUCCCAGUCCUGGGAAUCCCAAAAAUCCCCAACCAAAAAAAUCCCAAAAAUCCUGAAAAUCCCAAUCCCAAAAAUCCCCUAAACCCCAAAUCCCAAAAAUUCCAAACCCAAAAAUCCCCAAAACCCCAAAUCCCAAAAAUCCCCAAAAUCCCAGAAUAAAAAGAGAGAAAAUUGGGGAAAAAAAAAAAAAGAGAAAUUUGGAAUAAAAAGAAGAAA